rnacentral:rRNA from 1 species
CACCCAUCUAUUCUAGCUCUGCUUUUUUUUUAUUCGACCUGCCCUUGCUUUUGGCAAGGGCAGAUCGAAUAAAGAAAAGUAGCAGAAAAAAGAGCAAUAGGUGUGAUUUUUUCUUCUGCCCAAAGGGCGGGCUGGUGAACUAUCCCAGCCCGUGCCUGUGGUGCCUGUGGUCUCUAGACCACAGGCUACCUGCGGACGAUGUCCGCAGGUAGGGUUAGGUCAAAGAAAAGAAGGCUUACGGUGGAGACCUAGGCACUCAGAGACGAUGAAGGGCGCAGAUAGCGGCGAUACGCUUCGGGGAGCUGGUAACAAGCAUAGAUCCGAAGAUUCCCGAAUAGGGCAACCUCCUCUGCCUACCUUGCGGUAGGCAAAGAAACGAGAACUCCUUUUUGAAUUCAUAGAAAAGGAAGAGGCAACCCGGUGAACUGAAACAUCUCAGUAGCCGGAGGAAAAGGAAGCAAAAGCGAUUCCCGUAGUAGCGGCGAGCGAAGUGGGAAUAGCCUAAACUACCUGCUUAUUCAGCAGGUGGGGUCGUGGGAAUCCAAUGCGCUGCUGGGGUAAGUUAUUGCUGCGCUAAAUCGCUGUUUUACGGCGAGUUAGCGCAGCAAUUCCUAAGGGGAUGGAAUCCCCAAUUCUCCAGCAGAAGUAGAAAGAAAAAAAGACGAAGCAGCUGAAUCCUGCACCAUAGAUGGUGAAAGUCCAGUAGUCGACAGUUUCAAAAUUUGAGAAAAUCCCGAGUAGCAUGGGGCACGUGGAAUCCCGUGUGAAUCUGCGAGGACCACCUCGUAAGGCUAAAUACUCCUGAGUGACCGAUAGUGAAGAAGUACAGCGAUGGAAAGGUGAAAUAGAACCCCCGUAGGGGAGUGAAAAAGAACAUGAAACCGUAAGCUGACAAGCAGUUGGAGGAUACAUUAUAUCUGACAGCGUGCCUGUUGAAGAAUGAGCCGGCGACUUAUAGGAUGUGGCAGGGUUAAGGAAGAACCUCCGGAGCCCAAGCGAAAGCGAGUCUGAACAGGGCGUCAAGUCACUUCUUAUGGACCCGAACCUGGAUGAUCUAAUGAUCUCCCCGAAAUGCGUUGAGGCGCAGCGGCGACGAUGUCCUGUCUAAAGGUAGAGCGACUGUUUCGGUGCGGGCUGCGAAAGCGGUACCAAGUCGUGGCAAACUCCGAAUAUUAGGCAUUGGAUUCCGUGAGCCAGUGAGACUGUGGGAGAUAAGUUUCAUAGUCGAGAGGGAAACAGCCCAGACCAUCAGCUAAGGCCCCUAAAUGGCUGCUAAGUGGAAAAGGAUGUGAGAAUGCUGAAACAACCAGGAGGUUCGCUUAGAAGCAGCCAUCCUUUAAAGAGUGCGUAAUAGCUCACUGGUAAAGCGUUCUUGCGCCGACAAUGGCCGGGACUAAGCAGCCUGCCGAAGCUAUGGGAUUUGUUCAUCUCUAUAUAAUAGAUAAUAAUAGAUAUAAUAGAGAAAGUGAAUCGGUAGGGGAGCGUUCUGCAGUGGGUGAAGCUUUGACGUAAGUUUGAGUGGACAGUGCAGAAGUGAGAAUGUCGGCUUGAGUAACGAAAACAUUGGUGAGAAUCCAAUGCACCGAAAACCUAAGGGUUCCUCUACAAGGUUCGUCCGUGGGGGGUGAGUCAGGACCUAAGGCAAGGCCGAGCGGCGUAGUCGAUGGCAAACAGGCGAAUAUUCCUGUACUCAUUUUUGUGGGUCCCGAGGGACGAAGGAAGCUAAAUUGGGUCUAUAGUUGGAUUGUAGUGGAAGCGUUCAAAGUGAUGAGAGGUCGAAGAAAAACGAAUCUUGAGCUGAGGCGUAAUCCCGCUUUCUAGACUUGCUCUAGAUAAGCGCCAAUGAUGUUCUGCUUCCAAGAAAAGCUCGUACACCUAUGCUGGGCUCCGCUCAGUAUAAAACACAAAAAUGACCUGUACCAUAAACCGACACAGGUAGGUUGGUAGAGAAUACUGAGGGGCGCGAGAGAACUCUCUCUAAGGAACUCGGCAAACUGGCCCCGUAACUUCGGGAGAAGGGGCGCCCUUUCUGUGAAAAGGAAGGGCCGCAGGGUAUCGGUUCUGGCAACUGUUUAUCAAAGACACAGGUCUCCGCAAAGUCGUAAGACAAUAUAUGGGGGCUGACGCCUGCCCAGUGCCGGAAGGUCAAGGAAGUUGGCUAGAGUUUUUCGAAGCUGACGACCGAAGCCCCGGUGAACGGCGGCUGUAACUAUGACAGUCCUAAGGUAGCGAAAUUCAUUGUCGAGUAAGUUUCGACCUGCACGAAGGGCGUAAUGAUCAGAACGCUGUCUCGGAGAGAGACUCGGUGAAAUAGACUUGUCCGUGAAGAUGCGGACUACUAAUACUUGGACAGAAAGACCCUAUGAAGCUUGACUGUAUCUUGGAAUUGGGUUCGGGCUUUUCUUGCGCAGCCUAGGUGGGAGGCGUUGAAGAUUUCCUUCCGGGGAAGUUGGAGCCAUCAGUGAGAGACCACUCUGGAAAGGCUAGAAUCCUAAUGGUGAUCCUUGAAUCAGGACACUUGACAGUUUCAGGUGGGCAGUUUCUCUGGGGCGGAGGCCUCAUAAAAGGUAACUGAGGCGCGCAAAGGUCCCCUCAGUCUGGACGGAAAUCAGACAUUGAGUGUAAAGGCAAAAGGGGGCUUGACUGCAAGACCUACAAGUCGAGCAGGAGCGAAAGCUGGCCAUAGUGAUCCGACGGUACCGAGUGGAAGGGCCGUCGCUCAACGAAUAAAAGUUACUCUAGGGAUAACAGGCUGAUCUUCUCCAAGAGUUCACAUCGACGAGAAGGUUUGGCACCUCGAUGUCGGCUCAUCACAUCCUGGGGCUGUAGUAGGUCCCAAGGGUUGGGCUGUUCGCCCAUUAAAGUGGUACGUGAGCUGGGUUCAGAACGUCCUAAGGUAGCGAAAUUCAUUGUCGAGUAAGUUUCGACCUGCACGAAAGGCGUAAUGAUCAGAACGCUAAAAAAAAAACCCCCCCCCCCCGCCCCCCUUUUUUUUUUAAGAUCGGAAGGUCAAGGAAGUUGGUUAGAGUUUUUCGAAGCUGACGACCGAAGCCCCGGUGAACGGCGGCUGUAACUAUGACAGUCCUAAGGUAGCGAAAUUCAUUGUCGAGUAAGUUUCGACCUGCACGAAAGGCGUAAUGAUCAGAACGCUGUCUCGGAGAGAGACUCGGUGAAAUAGACUUGUCCGUGAAGAUGCGGACUACUAAUACUUGGACAGAAAGACCCUAUGAAGCUUGACUGUAUCUUGGAAUUGGGUUCGGGCUUUUCUUGCGCAGCCUAGGUGGGAGGCGUUGAAGAUUUCCUUCCGGGGAAGUUGGAGCCAUCAGUGAGAGACCACUCUGGAAAGGCUAGAAUCCUAAUGGUGAUCCUUGAAUCAGGACACUUGACAGUUUCAGGUGGGCAGUUUCUCUGGGGCGGAGGCCUCAUAAAAGGUAACUGAGGCGCGCAAAGGUCCCCUCAGUCUGGACGGAAAUCAGACAUUGAGUGUAAAGGCAAAAGGGGGCUUGACUGCAAGACCUACAAGUCGAGCAGGAGCGAAAGCUGGCCUUAGUGAUCCGACGGUACCGAGUGGAAGGGCCGUCGCUCAACGAAUAAAAGUUACUCUAGGGAUAACAGGCUGAUCUUCUCCAAGAGUUCACAUCGACGAGAAGGUUUGGCACCUCGAUGUCGGCUCAUCACAUCCUCCUUUUUUUUUGUCGCUCAACGAAUAAAAGUUACUCUAGGGAUAACAGGCUGAUCUUCUCCAAGAGUUCACAUCGACGAGAAGGUUUGGCACCUCGAUGUCGGCUCAUCACAUCCUGGGGCUGUAGUAGGUCCCAAGGGUUGGGCUGUUCGCCCAUUAAAGUGGUACGUGAGCUGGGUUCAGAACGUCGUAAGACAGUUCGGUCCAUAUCCGGUAUUAGCGUUAGAAUAUUGAGGUCAGUCGCUAAAAAAAAAAAAUACGGCGACCCGACACCCUCGCUUCGACUCGUUCAGAACGUCGUAAGACAGUUCGGUCCAUAUCCGGUAUUAGCGUUAGAAUAUUGAGGUCAGUCGCUCAUAGUACGAGAGGACCUGUAGCGAACAUGCCUAUGGUGUACCUGUUAUUUUUCCAAAAGUAAACGCAGGGUAGCUACGCAUGGAGUGAAUAAGUACUGAAUGCAUCUAAGUACGAAGUCCAGACCAAGAUGAGUAUUCUCUGAAGCCGCAGCAAGACAAGCUGUUUUAUAGGUAUCAAGUGUAAGGCCAGUAAUGGUCUCAGCUGAGAUAUACUAAAGGCUAAUUGAUUUUGACCUAUAGCGCGUAGCGCAUUAAAAAAAGCAGGUGCCUGUGGUCUCUAGACCACAGGUGCCAGCCCCAGCCCUUACUUUUUAGGGGCUAGGUUGUUCAAAUCUCC